UACGUAGGGUGAGAGCGUUAAUCGGAAUUACUGGGCGUAAAGCGUGCGCAGGCGGUUCUCCAAGUCCGUUGUGAAAGCCCCGGGCUCAACCUGGGAAUGGCAGUGGAAACUAGGGGACUGGAAUCUGGCAGAGGGGGGUGGAAUGCCGCGUGUAGCAGUGAAAUGCGUAGAGAUGCGGCGGAACACCGAUGGCGAAGGCAGCCCCCUGGGCUGAGAUUGACGCUCAGGCACGAAAGCGUGGGGAGCAAACAGG
rnacentral:rRNA from 1 species